GGAGCAGGACCACAGCUGCAGCCACAAUCCAGGUGCCACCGCAAUCCAAGGAAAUCUGUGAGGCGAAGAAAGCACGAGGACUCUGGGGAAGAAUCUAAAUUAGCAGAAGGUGAAAUCUGUUCUGCUCACAGCUCCCAACAUGAAUGGAAACUGUCUUCAUGGACUUACAGUACAGACAACGCUGUAAAUCCUCCUGCUGCAGCAGCACAGACAUCACGACGACCAACCUGAAGAAGAAGAAGAAGAAGAAGAAGGAGGAGGAGGUUAAUAAGGAGGCGAGUAUUUCCUUUCGAAGCUGGAAACUGACACCAGACACAUGCUGAGAGACUCUGACAGCGCCUGCUGGGUCCAA